UACGUAGGGGGCAAGCGUUGUCCGGAUUUAUUGGGCGUAAAGAGCGUGUAGGCGGCCAGGCAGGUCCGCUGUGAAAACUCGAGGCUCAACCUCGAGAGGUCGGUGGAAACCGUCUGGCUAGAGUCCGGAAGAGGAGAGUGGAAUUCCCGGUGUAGCGGUGAAAUGCGCAGAUAUCGGGAAGAACACCCGUGGCGAAGGCGGAUCUCUGGGCCAUAACUGACGCUGAGGAGCGAAAGCAUGGGGAGCGAACAGG
rnacentral:rRNA from 1 species